GAUUAAGUUAUUAAGGGCGCACGGUGGAUGCCUUGGCACUAGAAGCCGAUGAAGGACGUUACUAACGACGAUAUGCUUUGGGGAGCUGUAAGUAAGCUUUGAUCCAGAGAUUUCCGAAUGGGGAAACCCAGCAUGAGUUAUGUCAUGUUAUCGAUAUGUGAAUACAUAGCAUAUCAGAAGGCACACCCGGAGAACUGAAACAUCUUAGUACCCGGAGGAAGAGAAAGAAAAUUCGAUUCCCUUAGUAGCGGCGAGCGAAAUGGGAAGAGCCCAAACCAACAAGCUUGCUUGUUGGGGUUGUAGGACACUCUAUACGGAGUUACAAAGGACGACAUUAGACGAAUCAUCUGGAAAGAUGAAUCAAAGAAGGUAAUAAUCCUGUAGUCGAAAAUGUUGUCUCUCUUGAGUGGAUCCUGAGUACGACGGAGCACGUGAAAUUCCGUCGGAAUCUGGGAGGACCAUCUCCUAAGGCUAAAUACUCUCUAGUGACCGAUAGUGAACCAGUACCGUGAGGGAAAGGUGAAAAGCACCCCGGAAGGGGAGUGAAAUAGAACCUGAAACCGUGUGCUUACAAGUAGUCAGAGCCCGUUAAUGGGUGAUGGCGUGCCUUUUGUAGAAUGAACCGGCGAGUUACGAUUUGAUGCAAGGUUAAGCAGUAAAUGUGGAGCCGUAGCGAAAGCGAGUCUGAAUAGGGCGUUUAGUAUUUGGUCGUAGACCCGAAACCAGGUGAUCUACCCUUGGUCAGGUUGAAGUUCAGGUAACACUGAAUGGAGGACCGAACCGACUUACGUUGAAAAGUGAGCGGAUGAACUGAGGGUAGCGGAGAAAUUCCAAUCGAACCUGGAGAUAGCUGGUUCUCUCCGAAAUAGCUUUAGGGCUAGCCUCAAGUGAUGAUUAUUGGAGGUAGAGCACUGUUUGGACGAGGGGCCCCUCUCGGGUUACCGAAUUCAGACAAACUCCGAAUGCCAAUUAAUUUAACUUGGGAGUCAGAACAUGGGUGAUAAGGUCCGUGUUCGAAAGGGAAACAGCCCAGACCACCAGCUAAGGUCCCAAAAUAUAUGUUAAGUGGAAAAGGAUGUGGCGUUGCCCAGACAACUAGGAUGUUGGCUUAGAAGCAGCCAUCAUUUAAAGAGUGCGUAAUAGCUCACUAGUCGAGUGACACUGCGCCGAAAAUGUACCGGGGCUAAACAUAUUACCGAAGCUGUGGAUUGUCCUUUGGACAAUGGUAGGAGAGCGUUCUAAGGGCGUUGAAGCAUGAUCGUAAGGACAUGUGGAGCGCUUAGAAGUGAGAAUGCCGGUGUGAGUAGCGAAAGACGGGUGAGAAUCCCGUCCACCGAUUGACUAAGGUUUCCAGAGGAAGGCUCGUCCGCUCUGGGUUAGUCGGGUCCUAAGCUGAGGCCGACAGGCGUAGGCGAUGGAUAACAGGUUGAUAUUCCUGUACCACCUAUAAUCGUUUUAAUCGAUGGGGGGACGCAGUAGGAUAGGCGAAGCGUGCGAUUGGAUUGCACGUCUAAGCAGUAAGGCUGAGUAUUAGGCAAAUCCGGUACUCGUUAAGGCUGAGCUGUGAUAGGGAGAAGACAUUGUGUCUUCGAGUCGUUGAUUUCACACUGCCGAGAAAAGCCUCUAGAUAGAAAAUAGGUGCCCGUACCGCAAACCGACACAGGUAGUCAAGAUGAGAAUUCUAAGGUGAGCGAGCGAACUCUCGUUAAGGAACUCGGCAAAAUGACCCCGUAACUUCGGGAGAAGGGGUGCUCUUUAGGGUUAACGCCCAGAAGAGCCGCAGUGAAUAGGCCCAAGCGACUGUUUAUCAAAAACACAGGUCUCUGCUAAACCGUAAGGUGAUGUAUAGGGGCUGACGCCUGCCCGGUGCUGGAAGGUUAAGAGGAGUGGUUAGCUUCUGCGAAGCUACGAAUCGAAGCCCCAGUAAACGGCGGCCGUAACUAUAACGGUCCUAAGGUAGCGAAAUUCCUUGUCGGGUAAGUUCCGACCCGCACGAAAGGCGUAACGAUUUGGGCACUGUCUCAACGAGAGACUCGGUGAAAUCAUAGUACCUGUGAAGAUGCAGGUUACCCGCGACAGGACGGAAAGACCCCGUGGAGCUUUACUGUAGCCUGAUAUUGAAAUUCGGCACAGCUUGUACAGGAUAGGUAGGAGCCUUUGAAACGUGAGCGCUAGCUUACGUGGAGGCGCUGGUGGGAUACUACCCUAGCUGUGUUGGCUUUCUAACCCGCACCACUUAUCGUGGUGGGAGACAGUGUCAGGCGGGCAGUUUGACUGGGGCGGUCGCCUCCUAAAAGGUAACGGAGGCGCUCAAAGGUUCCCUCAGAAUGGUUGGAAAUCAUUCAUAGAGUGUAAAGGCAUAAGGGAGCUUGACUGCGAGACCUACAAGUCGAGCAGGGUCGAAAGACGGACUUAGUGAUCCGGUGGUUCCGCAUGGAAGGGCCAUCGCUCAACGGAUAAAAGCUACCCCGGGGAUAACAGGCUUAUCUCCCCCAAGAGUUCACAUCGACGGGGAGGUUUGGCACCUCGAUGUCGGCUCAUCGCAUCCUGGGGCUGUAGUCGGUCCCAAGGGUUGGGCUGUUCGCCCAUUAAAGCGGUACGCGAGCUGGGUUCAGAACGUCGUGAGACAGUUCGGUCCCUAUCCGUCGUGGGCGUAGGAAAUUUGAGAGGAGCUGUCCUUAGUACGAGAGGACCGGGAUGGACAUACCUCUGGUGUACCAGUUGUCGUGCCAACGGCAUAGCUGGGUAGCUAUGUGUGGACGGGAUAAGUGCUGAAAGCAUCUAAGCAUGAAGCCCCCCUCAAGAUGAGAUUUCCCAACUUCGGUUAUAAGAUCCCUCAAAGAUGAUGAGGUUAAUAGGUUCGAGGUGGAAGCAUGGUGACAUGUGGAGCUGACGAAUACUAAUCGAUCGAAGACUUAAUCAA
rnacentral:rRNA from 1 species